rnacentral:rRNA from 1 species
UGGGGAGUACGGCCGACAAGGUUAAAAACUACAAAGGAAGUUGACGGGGACCCGCACAAGCGGUGGAUGAUGUGGAUUAAUUCGAUGACAACGCGAAAAACCUUACCUACCCUUGACAUGUCCAGAAGCCUGAAGAGAUUUGGGUGUGCCCGAAAGGGAACUGGAACACAGGUGCUGCAUGGCUGUCGUCAGCUCGUGUCGUGAGAUGUUGGGUUAAGUCCCGCAACGAGCGCAACCCUUGUCGUUAAUUGCCAUCAUUUGGUUGGGCACUUUAACGAGACUGCCGGUGACAAACCGGAGGAAGGUGGGGAUGACGUCAAGUCCUCAUGGCCCUUAUGGGUAGGGCUUCACACGUCAUACAAUGGUCGGUACAGAGGGUUGCCAAGCCGCGAGGUGGAGCCAAUCCCAGAAAGCCGAUCGUAGUCCGGAUCGCAGGCUGCAACUCGCCUGCGUGAAGUCGGAAUCGCUAGUAAUCGCGGAUCAGCAUGUCGCGGUGAAUACGUUCCCGGGUCUUGUACACACA